GCGGGAUGUUUAUUGCGGGGGAGGAGCCACGGCGGCAAACGUGAUCGUAAUUGCCGGUUAGUGCACCACGGCGUUGUUACGUAUUUCACACAGUCAUACCAAGGCCACAUAUGCCCUUACCAAUUAAAGAGUCUUCUUUCUCACGCUAAGGAGGGAUCCGGAGCCUAGGUGUUCAAAAAAUGCGAUGACGUCACACUGUCAGAGGUACUGAGUUACUGCUUUACGGCAGUUUCUGAAGCACUUCCCGCAACGAUAAUACCAGCUGUUGGAGAUGGACAUUGAUGCUGUGACAACGGAGAAGUCUUCUUCCUCUGUCCUUUUUCCCUGCCUCUGUUAGUGUUUAGUGUUGUUAAAUAAUUUAUCUUUUUUUAUUUUAUUUACUAUUAGUUACUGUUCUUAUUGUGUUCUUGUUAUUGUGAUGUUUGAAUAAACUUGCCUG
ensembl:lncRNA